rnacentral:rRNA from 1 species
UACAGAGGUCUCAAGCGUUUGUUCGGAUUCAUUGGGGCGUAAAGGGGUGUGUAGGUGGCGCCGUAAGUCGGGUGUGAAAUUUCGGAGCUUAACUCCGAAACUGCAUUCGAUACUGCGGUGCUUGAGGACUGGAGAGGAGACUGGGAAUUUCAUGGUGUAGCAGUGAAAAUGCGUAGAGAUCAUGAGGAAGACCAGUGGCGAAGGCGGGGUCUCUGGACAGUUCCUGACACUGAG